rnacentral:rRNA from 1 species
CAGCCGCCCGGUAAUACGAAGGGUGCAAGCGUUAAUCGGAAUUACUGGGCGUAAAGCGUGCGUAGGCGGUUUGUUAAGUCUGCUGUGAAAUCCCCGGGCUCAACCUGGGAAUGGCAGUGGAUACUGGCAAGCUAGAGUGUGUCAGAGGAUGGUGGAAUUCCCGGUGUAGCGGUGAAAUGCGUAGAGAUCGGGAGGAACAUCAGUGGCGAAGGCGGCCAUCUGGGACAACACUGACGCUGAGGCACGAAAGCGUGGGGAGCAAACAGGAUUAGAUACCCCCGUAGUCCCUGUCUCUUAUACA